GAAUGGUUGAGAGGAACAGCCUUUAUCCUCACCAGCUAGGGACUUACUCAGAAAGAUCUAACCCUGGGUGGACCAUGCAGCCUGAAAGACCCAGAGGCAACUAUUGAUUCAUCCAUUUAUUCAUCACUUACUAGAUGUCUUAGCUUAUCUUGGACAGCAGAGAGGAACCCAGGUCCGGUGGAGGGGAGAGAAAAGACUGUUUAGAUGAAUUAGCUGUAACUUUUAGGAGAAAGGCAAUAAACCCAGAACAAAAGACCACUUGUGAGAGUUGGACUAUAAAGAAAGCUGAGCACCAAAGAAUUGAUGCUUUUGAACUGUGGUGUUGGAGAAGGCUCUUGAGAGUCCCUUGGACAGCAAGAUCCAACCAGUCCAUCCUAAAGGAAAUCAGUCCUGAAUAUUCAUUGGAAGGACUGAUGCUGAAGCUGAAACUCCAAUACUUUGGCCACCUGAUGUGAAAAGCUGACUCAUUUGAAAAGACCCUGAAGCUGGGAAAGAUUGAAGGCAGGAGGAGAAGGGAACAACAGAGGAUGAGAUGGUUGGAUGGCAUCACCGACUCAAUGGACAUGAGUUUGAGUAAACUCUGGGAGUUGGUGAUGGACAGGGAGGCCUGAAAAGUAAUUCUCAAGAGAGUUGGGGCUACAGCUGGCAAAUGCCUGGUACAGUCACUGACGUUGCCUACUCCCCAUGCCUUAGCACAGACACCACUUGACCGGCUCACUGGGACAGGAGCCCCAGAUCCUUCUUGGUGCAGUGUUCUAUGCAGUCUCUGCCAAUCAAAGCUGACAUCUGAGAUGAAGCCCACUCCCUAUGCCUGUUCCAAGCUUUGGCUGUGAAUUCUUUAUCGUGACUUGUCUUCCAGGCAUCCUAUUAUAUUGUUGUGACUUCCACAGCACUUGGAGAUUCAGAGGACAAUUUGGUGUUGAUUCACAGAAUACCCUCUGGAUCAAUGGUGUUCAGUGUACGCUAAACUUGACUGACUCACUGGUAUCUGUUUGUCUCCUCUACCAACCAAGCUGGUUCUCUAGGCUCCGCAGGAGUUCUGGCUGAGACCUCUCAUUGCCCCAUAUUCUCGCUAUUACUAAUGAGGCGUUGUUCCUUAAUUACUGGUUGCUGGAUACCAGAAUUGCUUUCCUUUGUU
ensembl:lncRNA